CGCCCAGCCCUGCCACCCGUCUUGCCCCGACUGCAAAAGCUAUCUAGGGGAAGAAGAAGAUGCGAUAGAGAGGAUGACAAGUGGGGUCUUAAUUGGCGGGCAACAAUGGCAAUUCACUCAGAAAUCGAUCUUUUUUGGAGCUGAGAGCACCCAUCUAGCCAAACACCCCAUUUUAGUUCUGGAGUUUUGGAGCGGAGCUGACUCCAUGUGGAGUUCUGGAGUGGAGCAGCUCUACCCGGAGUUGGAGCCAUGCCAAAUAGGGCCUAACUGUAUGCUCAGCAGAGACUAAAUGAGAAUUAAACUUUUGUUCAACAGUAGGUUCCCAAUCUAAGUAUGUCUCUGGAUCAACAUUACCAACAAAAAGAAUCAUGGUAAACUUUGUUUUAGCAAAAUGAUCAUUAUUACCAUGAUUAUGAUUACCUCCCAUACCCUGACGAUUACAACAAAGACGGUCUGCGCCACGUGCACCAUCAUCAAAACCAUUAGUGUCGUCAUCAUCCUCGU
rnacentral:lncRNA from 1 species